rnacentral:rRNA from 1 species
AGCGAACGCUGGCGGCAGGCCUAACACAUGCAAGUCGAACGGUAACGCGGGGCAACCUGGCGACGAGUGGCGAACGGGUGAGUAAUGCAUCGGAACGUGCCCGGUAGUGGGGGAUAACUGCUCGAAAGAGCAGCUAAUACCGCAUACGACCUGAGGGUGAAAGGGGGGGAUCGCAAGACCUCUCGCUAUCGGAGCGGCCGAUGUCGGAUUAGCUAGUUGGUGGGGUAAAAGCCCACCAAGGCAACGAUCCGUAGCUGGUCUGAGAGGACGACCAGCCACACUGGGACUGAGACACGGCCCAGACUCCUACGGGAGGCAGCAGUGGGGAAUUUUGGACAAUGGACGCAAGUCUGAUCCAGCCAUGCCGCGUGCGGGAAGAAGGCCUUCGGGUUGUAAACCGCUUUUGUCAGGGAAGAAAUCUUCUGAGUUAAUACCUCGGGAGGAUGACGGUACCUGAAGAAUAAGCACCGGCUAACUACGUGCCAGCCGCCGCAGUAAUAC